rnacentral:misc_RNA from 1 species
GAUGAAGAACGUAGCGAAAUGCGAUAAGUAAUGUGAAUUGCAGAAUUCAGUGAAUCAUCGAAUCUUUGAACGCACAUUGCGCCCGCCAGUAUUCUGGCGGGCAUGCCUGUUCGAGCGUCAUUUCAACCAUCAAGCCCCCGGCUUGUGUUGGGGACCUGCGGCUGCCGCAGGCCCUGAAAAGCAGUGGCGGGCUCGCUGUCACACCGAGCGUAGUAGCAUACAUAUCGCUCUGGGCGUGCUGCGGGUUCCGGCCGUUAAACCACCUUCAUAACCCAAGGUUGACCUCGGAUCAGGUAGGAAGACCCGCUGAACUUAAGCAUAUCAAUAAGCGGAGGA